UGAUGAUGUUCCCCAUAUUUAUAUGUAGAUAUAUAAUCUAUGGUUUUAGAUCAUCAAAUAUAAACACUGAACUAACUUCACCCAUCAUAUAUUUAUCUUAUCUGGUGAUGAGAUGGUAAUUAUCAUGGUUUUGCGGGUUCAAACACAC